rnacentral:rRNA from 1 species
CCUACGGGAGGCAGCAGUGGGGAAUUUUGCGCAAUGGGGGAAACCCUGACGCAGCGACGCCGCGUGGAGGAUGACGGCCUUCGGGUUGUAAACUCCUGUCAGAGGGGACGAAAUCCCGCAAGGGACUGACGGUACCCUCAGAGGAAGCCCCGGCUAACUACGUGCCAGCAGCCGCGGUAAUACGUAGGGGGCAAGCGUUACUCGGAAUUACUGGGCGUAAGGGGUGAGUAGGCGGCUGGGCAAGUCAAGGAUGAAAUCCCGAGGCUCAACUUCGGAACUGUCCUUGAAACUGCUCAGCUUGAGGGUAGUUGAGGAGAGCGGAAUUCCCGGUGGAGCGGUGAAAUGCGUAGAUAUCGGGAGGAACACCUGAGGCGAAGGCGGCUCUCUAAGCUACUCCUGACGCUGAAUCACGAAAGCUAGGGGAGCAAACG